rnacentral:rRNA from 1 species
AUUGAACGCUGGCGGCAUGCCUUACACAUGCAAGUCGAACGGCAGCACGGGAGCAAUCCUGGUGGCGAGUGGCGAACGGGUGAGUAAUAUAUCGGAACGUGCCCGGUCGUGGGGGAUAACGUAGCGAAAGCUACGCUAAUACCGCAUACGAUCUACGGAUGAAAGCGGGGGAUCGCAAGACCUCGCGCGAUUGGAGCGGCCGAUAUCAGAUUAGGUAGUUGGUGAGGUAAAGGCUCACCAAGCCGACGAUCUGUAGCUGGUCUGAGAGGACGACCAGCCACACUGGGACUGAGACACGGCCCAGACUCCUACGGGAGGCAGCAGUGGGGAAUUUUGGACAAUGGGCGCAAGCCUGAUCCAGCAAUGCCGCGUGCAGGAUGAAGGCCUUCGGGUUGUAAACUGCUUUUGUACGGAACGAAACGGUGAGCUCUAAUACAGUUUGCUAAUGACGGUACCGUAAGAAUAAGCAUCGGCUAACUACGUG